CAAAGCUUUAGUAUAUUGUUGGGUAUAUUUCGUUGUCGAUGAGAAGGGGGAAAGCUUUGA
rnacentral:tRNA from 1 species